GGGAUAAAAGGCAGGAAAAACUGGGAUAAAAGGCAGGAAAAACUGGGAUAAAAGGUGGGAAAAACUGGGAUAAAAGGCAGGAAAAACUGGGAUAAAAGGGGGGAAAAACUGGGAUAAAAGGCAGGAAAAACUGGGAUAAAAGGUGGGAAAAACUGGGAUAAAAGGUGGGAAAAACUGGGAUAAAAGGUGGGAAAAACUGGGAUAAAAGGCAGGAAAAACUGGGAUAAAAGGGGGGAAAAACUGGGAUAAAAGGGGGGAAAAACUGGGAUA